GACGGAGGGGGCUAGCGUUGUUCGGAAUUAUUGGGCGUAAAGGGCGCGUAGGCGGUUUUUUAAGUCGGAUGUGCAAUCCCCUGGCUCAACCUGGGAACUGCAUCCGAGACCGGAAGGCUAGAGUACUGGAGAGGGUGGUGGAAUUCCUCGUGUAGCGGUGAAAUGCGUAGAGAUGUGGAGGAACACCAGUGGCGAAGGCGGCCACCUGGACAGUAACUGACGCUGAGGCGCGAAAGCGUGGGUAGCAAACAGG
rnacentral:rRNA from 1 species